UACCACGACAACGAUAAAGCACAAUCCGAUUCCUGAGGAGGACAGGCCGUGUUUCCGAGGGAGGAGAAGCCGACUGCGAUGGCUUCUGAGCUGAGAGCAGAUGUAAAGGACCGACUGG